rnacentral:tRNA from 1 species
CGGGGCGUGGCGCAGCUUGGUAGCGCGCUUCGUUCGGGUCGAAGAGGUCGUCGGUUCAAAUCCGGCCGCCCCGACCA